CCUACGGGAGGCAGCAGUGGGGAAUUUUGGACAAUGGGGGCAACCCUGAUCCAGCAAUGCCGCGUGAGUGAAGAAGGCUUUCGGGUUGUAAAGCUCUUUUGUCAGGAAAGAAAUCGCACCGGCUAAUACCUGGUGUGGAUGACGGUACCUGAAGAAUAAGCACCGGCUAACUACGUGCCAGCAGCCGCGGUGAUACGUAGGGUGCAAGCGUUAAUCGGAAUUACUGGGCGUAAAGCGUGCGCAGGCGGUUGUGCAAGACAGAUGUGAAAUCCCCGGGCUCAACCUGGGAACUGCAUUUGUGACUGCACGGCUAGAGUGUGUCAGAGGGGGGUAGAAUCCCACGUGUAGCAGUGAAAUGAGUAGAUAUGUGGAGGAAUACCGAUGGCGAAGGCAGCCCCCUGGGAUAACACUGACGCUCAUGCACGAAAGCGUGGGGAGCAAACAGGAUUAGAUACCCUGGUAGUCCACGCCCUAAACGAUGUCAAAUAGUUGUCGGGUCUUAAUUAAGUUGGAACGCAGCCAGCGCGUGAAGUUGACCUCCUGAGGAGUACAAUCACAAGAUUAACACUCUAAGGAAUGACGG
rnacentral:rRNA from 1 species